rnacentral:ncRNA from 2 species
GUGCUAUAGUACCCCCGACAAUGGAAUAGGAAGCCGGGAACAGGGAAGGUGGUGAGAAGCCACCGCGGUCCCGCCGCUGUAAGCGAGGACGAAAGGCCCGACUGCAGGCCACUGCCCGAACGGUCCAUGCGGACCGGUGUCGGGGUGGGAAGGCCGGGCCCGGUAGGAUGAUUCGCGAGCCAGAAGACCUCUCUCGGUUUCCCCAGCGCU